GGGGAUUUUUUUUUCUUUCUUUGUAAAACUUUUGAUAUUUAAGAUAAUAAAUAGUAGAUAGGAUGACAUAACAUGUGGGUAUAUUUGAUUUAUACAUGUAUUUGGUUUAGUAGAUAUGAGGUACCGGUACUGUAAUCUAAAUGAUGUACCAGUAGUAAAUUGUAAAAAUAGAUUUAAGAGAGAAAAGACAUUGAUAGGCACAACUGUCCAACAAAAUAGAAAAAAAU
rnacentral:lncRNA from 1 species